rnacentral:rRNA from 1 species
GACGAACGCUGUCGGCGUGCUUAACACAUGCAAGUCGAACGGAAAGGCCCUGCUUUUGUGGGGUGCUCGAGUGGCGAACGGGUGAGUAACACGUGAGUAACCUGCCCUUGACUUUGGGAUAACUUCAGGAAACUGGGGCUAAUACCGGAUAGGAGCUCCUGCUGCAUGGUGGGGGUUGGAAAGUUUCGGCGGUUGGGGAUGGACUCGCGGCUUAUCAGCUUGUUGGUGGGGUAGUGGCUUACCAAGGCUUUGACGGGUAGCCGGCCUGAGAGGGUGACCGGCCACAUUGGGACUGAGAUACGGCCCAGACUCCUACGGGAGGCAGCAGUGGGGAAUAUUGCACAAUGGGCGGAAGCCUGAUGCAGCAACGCCGCGUGCGGGAUGACGGCCUUCGGGUUGUAAACCGCUUUCGCCUGUGACGAAGCGUGAGUGACGGUAAUGGGUAAAGAAGCACCGGCUAACUACGUGCCAGCAGCCGCGGUGAUACGUAGGGUGCGAGCGUUGUCCGGAUUUAUUGGGCGUAAAGGGCUCGUAGGUGGUUGAUCGCGUCGGAAGUGUAAUCUUGGGGCUUAACCCUGAGCGUGCUUUCGAUACGGGUUGACUUGAGGAAGGUAGGGGAGAAUGGAAUUCCUGGUGGAGCGGUGGAAUGCGCAGAUAUCAGGAGGAACACCAGUGGCGAAGGCGGUUCUCUGGGCCUUUCCUGACGCUGAGGAGCGAAAGCGUGGGGAGCGAACAGGCUUAGAUACCCUGGUAGUCCACGCUGUAAACGGUGGGUACUAGGUGUGGGGUCCAUUCCACGGGUUCCGUGCCGUAGCUAACGCUUUAAGUACCCCGCCUGGGGAGUACGGCCGCAAGGCUAAAACUCAAAGGAAUUGACGGGGCCCCGCACAAGCGGCGGAGCAUGCGGAUUAAUUCGAUGCAACGCGUAGAACCUUACCUGGGUUUGACAUGGAUCGGGAGUGCUCAGAGAUGGGUGUGCCUCUUUUGGGGUCGGUUCACAGGUGGUGCAUGGCUGUCGUCAGCUCGUGUCGUGAGAUGUUGGGUUAAGUCCCGCAACGAGCGCAACCCUUGUUCACUGUUGCCAGCACGUUAUGGUGGGGACUCAGUGGAGACCGCCGGGGUCAACUCGGAGGAAGGUGGGGAUGACGUCAAGUCAUCAUGCCCCUUAUGUCCAGGGCUUCACGCAUGCUACAAUGGCUGGUACAGAGAGUGGCGAGCCUGUGAGGGUGAGCGAAUCUCGGAAAGCCGGUCUCAAUUCGGAUUGGGGUCUGCAACUCGACCUCAUGAAGUCGGAGUCGCUAGUAAUCGCAGAUCAGCAACGCUGCGGUGAAUACGUUCCCGGG